UGCCACUGAAAAAAAAUUAAAGGGCCGCAGUAUUUUGACUGUGCUAAGGUAGCAUAAUCAUUUGUUUUUUAAUUGAAAACUAGUAUGAAUGGUUGAAUGAAAAAUUAACUGUCUUAAUUUAAUAAAUAUAAUAAUUUAAUUUUUUAGUUAAAAAGCUAAAAUUUUAUUAAAAGACGAGAAGACCCUAUAGAUUUUUAUUAUUUUUUAUUUUAUUUUUAUUAAUAUUAAUAAUUUAAGAAUUAAUUUAGUUGGGGUGAUUUAAAAAUUUAUAUAACUUUUUAUUUUUUUUUCAUUAAUUUAUGUAUUUUUGAUCCAUUAAUUUUGAUUAUUAGAUUAAAUUACCUUAGGGAUAACAGCGUAAUUUUUUUAAAGAGUACAUAUCGAUAAAAAAGAUUGCGACCUCGAUGUUGAAUUAAAGUAUCUUAAAAUGUAGAAGUUUUAAGUAUUAGUCUGUUCGACUAAAUAGUCUUUACAUGAUCUGAGUUCAAACCG
rnacentral:rRNA from 1 species